rnacentral:lncRNA from 1 species
UUUUCCAGACAGUUCUAGAGAACUGAAGAUGAUUGAGUUUGAACAACUGAGGCAGUCAGAGCACAUGGGUGUAGAGGAGUUCACGGAUAAAUUCUUGGAGCUAUUGCCUUUUUCAGGGCAAGCUCUAGAUACAGAUACGAAGAAAGCCAAGAAAUAUGUUAUGAAGCUGCAUUCCAGGUACUCCUCGUUGGUUCAGUCAGCUGAGAGAGAAAGUUUCCACACUGUGGUGGAUAUGGCUCGAAGAAUGGAGGCAAGUGCUAUAGUUGAGGG